UGAUUUUUAUGGAGAGGAAUUAAGACUUGUGAUUGUUGGCUAUAUACGCCCAGAGGCGAAUUUUCCAUCACUUGAUAGCUUAAUUGAGAAAAUCCAUGAUGAUGGAAGAAUUGCUGAUAGAGCACUUGGACUUCCUUUAUACUCCAAAUACAAGCAAGAUUCAUAUUUAUUGUCAUUGGACAAUGGUAUAGUUAGUAAUCAUCAUAAUAAUGAUGCUAUUUGAUAAAUUUGUCAUUCAAUGAAGAAACUGUCAUACCACCACUCCACUAGGGGUGGCCAUGUAACUCGAAUUUAUCGAAUAAUACGCCUAAACCAACUGAACGUUAUCGAAACAAUCAUUAAUCUGUUUAAACUGAAGUUAAACCGAGCUUUACCAGUUUGGAGUUGGUUUAAACAGGCCAGUCAUUCAACAGACUUUUAAUGCUCCAAAACACCAUUAGUUACUUCUUUUUU